GGCUGGGGCAGAGCCCAAGGCCAGGAUAAAAGGGCCUUGGGGACUGAGGCCUUCCAUACACUCCUCUCCUGAGGUGCUGACGGACCUUGUGCUGCCUGUGCACCGCUCCUGUCCCUGCCUGCCGAGAUGUCCUGCCAGAAGAACCAGCAGCAGUGCCAGCCCCCUCCCAAAUGCCUCCCCAAGUGUCCCCCCAAGUGUCCCCCAGUCUCUUCCUGCUGCAGUGUCAGCUCUGGGGGCUGCUGUGGCUCCAGCUCUGGGGGCGGGGGCUGUUGUAGCUCCGGGGGUGGUGGCUGCUGUAGCUCUGGGGGUGGUGGCUGCUGUCUGAGCCACCACAGGAGACGCAGGUCCCACCGCCACAGGCACCAGAACUCUGACUGCUGCAGCCAGCCCUUGGGGGGCUCCAACUGCUGUGGAGGGAGCAGUCAGUCAUCUGGAGGCUGCUGCUGAAGUGGAUUCUGAGCCAAGAAAAGCAGAUUUGGGGGCAGCCAAUGCCAAAUCCUUCCUCCUGCUCCUGCUCCUCCUGCUGGGCCUAUCCAUGUGGCUGAGGGGGUCUGACCUCUGGCCCAGAGGAUCGCUGUGUCCUGGUGUCCGGAAGCCAGAACUUCCCCGAACCCAUUCACUCACCUUCUCGCCCAAAUGUGUGGCUGCCCUGGGAACCCAGAGUACAGACCCAACGUCCUUCUUCUGCUUACCUUGUGGCAAACCCAGCUUAAUGGGAAACAAUAAAACUAGAACUCUUCGUUCCUUC